AAAUUUUUGAAAAAAACGGAAAGCAAAAAUGUAUGUACCACAACCUUCAACUACUGUUUUGUUUUAGUAACUUCUUUUUCUUAUGAAAACGACUAACCACAUUUAGAAUAAAAAUGAACACAAAUCUACAAAAGUAAAAGGAUUACUUGGUAAUUUCAUGACUAUGAGGAUAUCAUGGGCAUAUUUUUUGCUCUAUAGGGUCAGACUAGACAAAAACACUUGUUUUAUAAACAAUACUGAAUCUAAUUUAUAAAUUAAACGUACGGAAAUAAUUCAGAACUACCAGCACUUCAUUAUUAAUAUUUUAGAUGAAUAAUACUCAAGGGUAACAAAACAGUACUUUUCAAAUGAUCUAUUACACAAUUUGUUAUGCAAAUUUCAUUUAAACAUAUUGUAAGCUUUUUUUUAAAAGCCAAGGGAGGAGGGAACACGUUAGCAGUUUCCUUGACUUAAAUUACUUAACAGACUAUACAAAAUUGCCAAUACAAAUUAACAUGUUGUUAUACAAAUUCUAACUAGAAUUGCAACAUGACAAAAAUCAACCACAAAAAUCCUUAAAAAUGAAUAAGCUCCAUCAAUUAAUAUUAGUCACCUAAAUUAAAGAAUUUAAAAUGUUUUUAUUUCUUCAUAUAUUUACUUACAAAACUUAUAAAAUUGAAGAGAACUGCAAAGAUGCUGACCAGGCAAGGUGGCAAUUCAAAAUUAAUACUAGAUUCAGAAAGACUUUUAGGUCUCCAACAUCAAAUUAAAUAUCAAUUUGUUAAUUAAUAACUGUUAAAACUAGAUGUCUAGAAUAAUUAAAAUUAUAAGAUUUUAUAAUUAUAAUUAGAUGUUUAUAAUCUGUAGAUAAGAACUUCAUUAAGGCAAUUGUCACAGAUGGCAAAGAAAAAUCUAUUAAAGUUACAUAGAAAGGAAAGGAAAAUGUUUCCCUAGAACUUUGGGGGAAAAAUCGAUACCGUAAAAAGUUUACUUCAUUUAAUAUUAUUGUUUGAUCUACCUGUGUUUUGUAGCAUUAAAAAGCCCUUAAGUAUUUAUAUAAAUGACCUGAGAAAGCAACUGUAAGCGUAUAGGCUUAACUAUCCCACCAAAAAUCUCAUUCAAAAGAUCAACUCACAGAACUCAAAAUGUUACUGUAAUUGUUUA
rnacentral:lncRNA from 1 species